UUAAGCGACUAAGCGUACACGGUGGAUGCCCUGGCAGUCAGAGGCGAUGAAGGACGUGCUAAUCUGCGAUAAGCGUCGGUAAGGUGAUAUGAACCGUUAUAACCGGCGAUUUCCGAAUGGGGAAACCCAGUGUGAUUCGUCACACUAUCAUUAACUGAAUCCAUAGGUUAAUGAGGCGAACCGGGGGAACUGAAACAUCUAAGUACCCCGAGGAAAAGAAAUCAACCGAGAUUCCCCCAGUAGCGGCGAGCGAACGGGGAGCAGCCCAGAGCCUGAAUCAGUGUGUGUGUUAGUGGAAGCGUCUGGAAAGGCGCGCGAUACAGGGUGACAGCCCCGUACACAAAAAUGCACAUGCUGUGAGCUCGAUGAGUAGGGCGGGACACGUGGUAUCCUGUCUGAAUAUGGGGGGACCAUCCUCCAAGGCUAAAUACUCCUGACUGACCGAUAGUGAACCAGUACCGUGAGGGAAAGGCGAAAAGAACCCCGGCGAGGGGAGUGAAAAAGAACCUGAAACCGUGUACGUACAAGCAGUGGGAGCACGCUUAGGCGUGUGACUGCGUACCUUUUGUAUAAUGGGUCAGCGACUUAUAUUCUGUAGCAAGGUUAACCGAAUAGGGGAGCCGAAGGGAAACCGAGUCUUAACUGGGCGUUAAGUUGCAGGGUAUAGACCCGAAACCCGGUGAUCUAGCCAUGGGCAGGUUGAAGGUUGGGUAACACUAACUGGAGGACCGAACCGACUAAUGUUGAAAAAUUAGCGGAUGACUUGUGGCUGGGGGUGAAAGGCCAAUCAAACCGGGAGAUAGCUGGUUCUCCCCGAAAGCUAUUUAGGUAGCGCCUCGUGAAUUCAUCUCCGGGGGUAGAGCACUGUUUCGGCAAGGGGGUCAUCCCGACUUACCAACCCGAUGCAAACUGCGAAUACCGGAGAAUGUUAUCACGGGAGACACACGGCGGGUGCUAACGUCCGUCGUGAAGAGGGAAACAACCCAGACCGCCAGCUAAGGUCCCAAAGUCAUGGUUAAGUGGGAAACGAUGUGGGAAGGCCCAGACAGCCAGGAUGUUGGCUUAGAAGCAGCCAUCAUUUAAAGAAAGCGUAAUAGCUCACUGGUCGAGUCGGCCUGCGCGGAAGAUGUAACGGGGCUAAACCAUGCACCGAAGCUGCGGCAGCGACGCUUAUGCGUUGUUGGGUAGGGGAGCGUUCUGUAAGCCUGUGAAGGUGUGCUGUGAGGCAUGCUGGAGGUAUCAGAAGUGCGAAUGCUGACAUAAGUAACGAUAAAGCGGGUGAAAAGCCCGCUCGCCGGAAGACCAAGGGUUCCUGUCCAACGUUAAUCGGGGCAGGGUGAGUCGACCCCUAAGGCGAGGCCGAAAGGCGUAGUCGAUGGGAAACAGGUUAAUAUUCCUGUACUUGGUGUUACUGCGAAGGGGGGACGGAGAAGGCUAUGUUGGCCGGGCGACGGUUGUCCCGGUUUAAGCGUGUAGGCUGGUUUUCCAGGCAAAUCCGGAAAAUCAAGGCUGAGGCGUGAUGACGAGGCACUACGGUGCUGAAGCAACAAAUGCCCUGCUUCCAGGAAAAGCCUCUAAGCAUCAGGUAACAUCAAAUCGUACCCCAAACCGACACAGGUGGUCAGGUAGAGAAUACCAAGGCGCUUGAGAGAACUCGGGUGAAGGAACUAGGCAAAAUGGUGCCGUAACUUCGGGAGAAGGCACGCUGAUAUGUAGGUGAAGUCCCUCGCGGAUGGAGCUGAAAUCAGUCGAAGAUACCAGCUGGCUGCAACUGUUUAUUAAAAACACAGCACUGUGCAAACACGAAAGUGGACGUAUACGGUGUGACGCCUGCCCGGUGCCGGAAGGUUAAUUGAUGGGGUCAGCGCAAGCGAAGCUCUUGAUCGAAGCCCCGGUAAACGGCGGCCGUAACUAUAACGGUCCUAAGGUAGCGAAAUUCCUUGUCGGGUAAGUUCCGACCUGCACGAAUGGCGUAAUGAUGGCCAGGCUGUCUCCACCCGAGACUCAGUGAAAUUGAACUCGCUGUGAAGAUGCAGUGUACCCGCGGCAAGACGGAAAGACCCCGUGAACCUUUACUAUAGCUUGACACUGAACAUUGAGCCUUGAUGUGUAGGAUAGGUGGGAGGCUUUGAAGUGUGGACGCCAGUCUGCAUGGAGCCGACCUUGAAAUACCACCCUUUAAUGUUUGAUGUUCUAACGUUGACCCGUGAUCCGGGUUGCGGACAGUGUCUGGUGGGUAGUUUGACUGGGGCGGUCUCCUCCUAAAGAGUAACGGAGGAGCACGAAGGUUGGCUAAUCCUGGUCGGACAUCAGGAGGUUAGUGCAAUGGCAUAAGCCAGCUUGACUGCGAGCGUGACGGCGCGAGCAGGUGCGAAAGCAGGUCAUAGUGAUCCGGUGGUUCUGAAUGGAAGGGCCAUCGCUCAACGGAUAAAAGGUACUCCGGGGAUAACAGGCUGAUACCGCCCAAGAGUUCAUAUCGACGGCGGUGUUUGGCACCUCGAUGUCGGCUCAUCACAUCCUGGGGCUGAAGUAGGUCCCAAGGGUAUGGCUGUUCGCCAUUUAAAGUGGUACGCGAGCUGGGUUUAGAACGUCGUGAGACAGUUCGGUCCCUAUCUGCCGUGGGCGCUGGAGAACUGAGGGGGGCUGCUCCUAGUACGAGAGGACCGGAGUGGACGCAUCACUGGUGUUCGGGUUGUCAUGCCAAUGGCACUGCCCGGUAGCUAAAUGCGGAAGAGAUAAGUGCUGAAAGCAUCUAAGCACGAAACUUGCCCCGAGAUGAGUUCUCCCUGACUCCUUGAGAGUCCUGAAGGAACGUUGAAGACGACGACGUUGAUAGGCCGGGUGUGUAAGCGCAGCGAUGCGUUGAGCUAACCGGUACUAAUGAACCGUGAGGCUUAACCUU
rnacentral:rRNA from 1 species